rnacentral:misc_RNA from 1 species
AAGUCGUAACAAGGUUUCCGUAGGUGAACCUGCGGAAGGAUCAUUACCAUUUGCUUGCGGCGCCGUUUGGGGCAACCCAGCGGCGCUCAGCUCGCCACCCUUGCCUAUCAAUCACCCGUUCUCCCUCGGUGGAUCCGUCCACCGACAGGGACCUUGAAACCACUUGCAUCCAGCAUCAACCUUCAAACAAACCAAAUAAUCACAACUUUCAACAAUGGAUCUCUUGGCUCUG